rnacentral:rRNA from 1 species
AUUGAACGCUGGCGGCAGGCCUAACACAUGCAAGUCGAACGAGUGGCGGACGGGUGAGUAAUGUCUGGGAAACUGCCUGAUGGAGGGGGCUAACUACUGGAAACGGUAGCUAAUACCGCAUACCCUCAGCUGAGCCUAGAUGGGAUUCUGUAGUUGGUGGGGUACCGGCUCACCAAGGCGACGAUCCCUAGCUGGGACGCGAGGCUGACCACCCACACUGGAACUGGGAAACGGUCCAGACUCCUACGGGAGGAAGCAGUGGGGAAUAUUGCACAAUGGGCGCAAGCCUGAUGCAGCCAUGCCGCGUGUAUGAAGAAGGCCUUCGGGUUGUAAAGUACUUUCAGCGGGGAGGCGUUACCCGCAUAAGAAGCACCGGCUAACUCCGUGCCAGCCGCCGCGGUAAUAC